rnacentral:rRNA from 1 species
AUCGAACGCUGGCGGCAUGCCUAACACAUGCAAGUCGAACGAGACCUUCGGGUCUAGUGGCGCACGGGUGCGUAACGCGUGGGAACCUGCCCUUAGGUUCGGAAUAACUCCCCGAAAGGGGUGCUAAUACCGGAUAAUGUCUUCGGACCAAAGAUUUAUCGCCUUUGGAUGGGCCCGCGUUGGAUUAGCUAGUUGGUAGGGUAAAAGCCUACCAAGGCGACGAUCCAUAGCUGGUCUGAGAGGAUGAUCAGCCACACUGGGACUGAGACACGGCCCAGACUCCUACGGGAGGCAGCAGUGGGGAAUAUUGGACAAUGGGCGAGAGCCUGAUCCAGCAAUGCCGCGUGAGUGAUGAAGGCCUUAGGGUUGUAAAGCUCUUUUACCCGGGAUGAUAAUGACAGUACCGGGAGAAUAAGCUCCGGCUAACUCCGUG